AUGCUACGUAUAUUAAGCAUUCAGCUAUCAAAUAUAGAAAAUGAGAGAUGGCUCAGACCCACUUCUAGAAAAGCCUUGGUCCUUGUUCAGUGCACACCUGGCAUUACACACAGGAAAAAAGACACACCAUUCACAAGAUUUCUAUUUCUAGAAGUGUGCUCUGCUACGUAGCUACUCUGCUGGGAGGAUCUGCCAGAAUUCUUUACAAAGAGCAGUUAUUACCCUGCAAUUUAGAAUCCAGUUAUUUUAUAGAAGCUGAGGGAGGGAAUGUAUCUGAGAGUGAGGCAGAUAUUUAAUUGGGAAAGCAGAUAUGCUAAUUAGGCAAAAUUAUUUUAUUACUGCUAUAAGCCAGUAAUGUGGAUUCUUAUAUAUUUAAUUAGGAUGCUAUUACAUAUUCUGGACUACCACUGUUCUCAAUGGAACAUUAUAUUUAUUUAGAAGAAUCAUUAGUAAAUAACUUUUAAUGUGUAAAAACAGCAACUACUACAACUUUACCCAUCCCAAAGAAUUUAUGUAAACCUGGUCUUAAUGCUGGGAUUCUUAAUACUUAAUUAGCAGGAAAAGGUACUGUCAGGUGGUUUUGACCAUUAGUUCCCAUUAGUUUUGUACUUUUCAAAGACAAAAUAUUACAAAAUUAUCUAAAACAAAACCAGGAGGAAUUUUAAAAGUAUCAAGAGAAAAAAAAAAAAAAUCCUCACAUACAGGGGAAUCCCCGUAAGGCUAGCAGCAGAUUUCUCAGCAGAAAUAUUGCAGGCCAAGAGAGAGUGGGAGGAUAUAUUAAAAGUGCUAAAAGAAAAAAAUUGCUAACCAAAAUUAUUUUAUCUGGAAAAGUUGUUUGUAAGUAAUGUAAGAUAGAUAAAAACUUUUCCAAACAGACAAAAAAGCUCAGCAAGUACAUUAUCACUAGAGCUGCCUUAUAAGAAAUGCUAAAGGAAGUUUUUAAAGCUGAAAUGAAAGGACAGUAAUUAGUAACGUGAAAACAUAUGACAAUAUAAAACACAUGGGUAAAGGUAACUAAAUAGUCAAAUUCAAAAUACCCUAAUUCUGGUGUUGUGUUAGCCAUUUAACUCUAUUAUAAAGAUUAAAGAACAAAAGUAUUAACAUAACUGUAUCUAAAAUAUAUUGUUAAUGAUACACAACAUAAAAAGAGGUAUACGAACAAUGAAACAUU
rnacentral:lncRNA from 1 species